rnacentral:lncRNA from 1 species
GUGAGGGAUACGUCCCUGUUUUUGAGGGAACCUGGAGUUUGCAACAUUCAUUUUCGUAUUGCUCUUGAGAUAUCUGUGGGCUCCUUGCUGUGGUGUGGCAUGCUGACAUUCCCUCCACACCCACACUGGCAGCCAAUGUGCCAAUUAGUGGCCUUCUCCACAGGGGUGUAUGAGAGGUGGAGAACACAGAAGAACCAGAAACAGAGGAGAAAGAGCAAGGUACAAUUAAAGGGAUGUCCCUCCCCUGGCUCCCCUCUUUGGUGGACCACAUCAACGGAAGUCCUGGAGCAGAUGGGAGCUCUAAUGACGGGAGGGAGGCCAGGUCGCGACCCUGGUGUGCCACCUCAGCGCCACACCCUUCCUCUUUCGGUCGAGACAAAGUUUACACCAGGAAAAGAGGAGGGAAAAGGGUACAUGGAGUUGGCCAGUGUUUUAAGUUCCAGAAAAUCUGGAAAGCUAAUUGAGAAGCAGACAUAGAAGUUACUGUCAUGCUAAAAAAAAAAAAAGUCAUAUUUUGUUUCCGUUAGUGUGCUGUUUAACUUCCCAUAAAAGCAAAUGGAUGACUUCAUUGUGAUCUUGGUGGAAAGUCAUUCUCUAAUGUCCUGUCUUAACUUUUUUAAUGCUACAGCAUUGUUAAGUUCAGACUGAAAAAUGAAAGUGCACUAUGGGCCAACAUUAAAGUCUGAGUUUAUGGAGGGAAAUGGACUCCACAGAAGGUUUGGGCAUCUUUGUGUCUCUCAGUACGUACUAAGACAGUACCGUGGUCUUCCUGCAUCAGACAUCCAAAUGCGAUGGAGAGGCUCGGAUAAUGAUAUGUCUGUCUGUCAUCCCUCUAGAUUUGCUUUCCACUUGUGAGUGAGAUACAGCACGAGAUGUGUGGGGGUGGUAAAGUGUGUGUGUGUGAAGUGAACGCUGUAUCUAGCUCAGUAUUAGAAUGGCAUACAAGUGGGGUGGUCAUGCAUGCGUGUGUGACAGGGGUCCCCGCAGAUUAUAGCCGAUGAUGAGCAUCUCCUCUCAGCUUGGAAAUGCGGUAAUUGUCACUUCGCUUGAGUAGGGGAGGUGGGAGCGGAAAGACAUCACUCCGAAAUGCAGCAAGUUAAAAAGAAGAAAAGUAUGAAGAUGUGCAACAAAGUAAAGAGUGGAACAAAAAGGAUUGAAUGGAAGAAAACGGCGGCGCUGAUUAACUUCUUGGUAGAGGUUCUCUGAGCUUUCCCAGUGGAUGUGGGAACAAACAGAAGUGUAGCAAUGCACAAAACAUUCUGCUAAGUU